GAAAGAAAAACAGAGUUAGACCAUCAGACCAGAGCCAUAUACAGACAGAGUUAGACCAUCAGACCAGAGCCAUAUACAGACAGAGUUAGUCCAUCAGACCAGAGCCAUAUACAGACAGAGUUAGACCAUCAGACCAGAGCCAUAUACAGACAGAGUUAGACCAUCAGACCAGAGCCAUAUACAGACAGAGUUAGACCAUCAGACCAGAGCCAUAUACAGACAGAGUUAGACCAUGAGACCAGAGCCAUAUACAGACAAAGGUUAGACCAUCAGACCA